AAUAUUGGUCAAUGGACGGAAGUUGAACCAGCCGUGCCGAGAGCAGGAAAGACGGCCUUUUGGGUUGUAAACUGCUUUUAUCAGGGAAGAAAAAGGUCUUGCGAGACCAGUUGCCGGUACCUGAAGAAUAAGCACCGGCUAACUCCGUGCCAGCAGCCGCGGUAAUACGGAGGGUGCGAGCGUUGUCCGGAUUUAUUGGGUUUAAAGGGUGCGUAGGCGGCCUAUUAAGUCAGUGGUGAAAGGUAUCAGCUUAACUGAUGACGUGCCAUUGAAACUGAUAGGCUUGAGUACAGACGAGGUAGGCGGAAUUUAUGGUGUAGCGGUGAAAUGCAUAGAUACCAUAAAGAACACCAAUAGCGAAGGCAGCUUACUAGACUGAGACUGACGCUGAGGCACGAAAGCGUGGGGAGCGAACAGGAUUAGAAACCCUGGUAGUCCACGCUGUA
rnacentral:rRNA from 1 species